rnacentral:rRNA from 1 species
UACGAAGGGGGCUAGCGUUGCUCGGAAUUACUGGGCGUAAAGCGCACGUAGGCGGAUUGUUAAGCCGGGGGUGAAAUCCUGGAGCUCAACUCCAGAACUGCCUUCGAUACUGGCGAUCUCGAGUUCGGGAGAGGUGAGUGGAACUGCGAGUGUAGAGGUGAAAUGCGUAGAGAUCGGGAGGAACAUCCGUGGCGAAGGCGGCCAUCUGGACCAACACUGACGCUGAGGCACGAAAGCGUGGGGAGCAAACAGG